rnacentral:rRNA from 1 species
UACAGAGGUCCCAAGCGUUGUUCGGAUUCACUGGGCGUAAAGGGUGCGUAGGCGGUCGGGUAAGUCUGACGUGAAAUCUUCAAGCUCAACUUGGAAACUGCGUCGGAUACUAUUCGGCUCGAGGAAUGGAGGGGAGACUGGAAUUCUCGGUGUAGCAGUGAAAUGCGUAGAUAUUGGGAAGAACACCAGUGGCGAAAGCGGACUUCUGGGUUGUUACUGACGCUGAGGUACGAAAGCGUGGGGAGCAAACGGG